rnacentral:lncRNA from 1 species
AACGGAAACCAACCAUAAUCCUAAACCUAAACAAUGACCAUAACAUGAAACUAAUAAACUAAGACGAAAUUAUUAAAGUAGUUCAAUUUAAUCAACCAGUCCCACCAAGAACAGCCUUGAGUUUCUUGACCUGCGCAUCAUCAAGGAAAGUGGUUUUUUCAAUUAAGUCAGAAGGCAAAUCGUUGGCGAACAGUGCAAAGUCCAGGAUCUGCAGACCGGGAGUUGAACUACUGAAGGAGACGAAAGCAGUCGCAAAAGACUUUCCUGAAUUGACUUGAAAAUGCAGUAAGCCUUGAGGGAACACCAUGAUAUCUCCCUUGUAUAGGGUUUUAAGAUAGACUGUGUUUGCAGAUGAAAUGAAUCCAGCGCAUAUUACUCCUUCCACGACAACAAGCACUUCU